AUAUUUCCAAAAGAGUUUUCAUAGUGCCAAUGACAUUUUGAUAGUCUGGGAAAAUAUGUGGAAAAACUAUUUUCAAAUACUUGAAAAAUAUUUUUGAGAUCACAUUUAAAAUGUGGGGGUUCUUUGCUUAUGAUAAAGAUAAAAUUAGACUUGGUGUCUAAUUUAAUUUUGGAGCAAAAGAUAUGAAAUUCAAUGAUACUUUUGUAUUAUGUUAGACCCACAAAAU
rnacentral:lncRNA from 1 species